rnacentral:rRNA from 1 species
GUGGGGAAUAUUGGACAAUGGGGGGAACCCUGAUCCAGCCAUGCCGCGUGUGUGAAGAAGGCCUUUUGGUUGUAAAGCACUUUAAGCGAGGAGGAGGCUACCGAGAUUAAUACUCUUGGAUAGUGGACGUUACUCGCAGAAUAAGCACCAGCUAACUCUGUGCCAGCAGCCGCGGUAAUACAGAGGGUGCAAGCGUUAAUCGGAUUUACUGGGCGUAAAGCGCGCGUAGGUGGCCAAUUAAGUCAAAUGUGAAAUCCCCGAGCUUAACUUGGGAAUUGCAUUCGAUACUGGUUGGCUAGAGUAUGGGAGAGGAUGGUAGAAUUCCAGGUGUAGCGGUGAAAUGCGUAGAGAUCUGGAGGAAUACCGAUGGCGAAGGCAGCCAUCUGGCCUAAUACUGACACUGAGGUGCGAAAGCAUGGGGAGCAAACAGGAUUAGAAACCCUUGUAGUCC